UCGGGAGUCGUCUAACGGUAGGACAGCGGCCUUUGAAGCCGUGAAUCGGGGUUCGAGUCCCUGCUCCCGAACCA
rnacentral:tRNA from 4 species